AAUAUGGUGCCUGAUAAAAGGAAUAUUUUGAUAGAAUAGAUUAUGUGAGAUUUCACCCUUAUUA
rnacentral:tRNA from 1 species